AGCUAAUGCAUUAUGUAAAUGUGCAACCCUCUCUUACCAAAUGCAAGUUUACAGAGAAAAAGAAAGAAAGGGAAAAAACUGCAUUGAAAGAGUUUUUGUUUUUUUUUUUAGUCGUCUAUUCUUUUUAAAUUCUCAAACUCCUGGCAAGCAGUAUCAGAAGUAAAAUUUUCUCACGAUUUCUUUUCUAGACAUUUCCUUCACCAGACUAAUUUUAAAAUUAAAUGAAAUAUGUCAUAUAAACUCUGGUCCUUCCUACAGCUAUGCAAUUACUGAACAACAAGCUCGAAGAUAUUUACAAGAACGAUAUCCUUGCCCGGUUUUCCACAGCUGUUUCUGCUCUUGCCUCCCAUAAGACACUUGACAGAAUAAUUACCAAGCAUGACAGUAUAUCAGCUUGAUAUUCAGACAUGAUUUUUACAUCUCUUGGCAUGGCAUCUCAACAGAAAAUGCAGUGGCAAGCAGUAGCGGCAGCCGGAGGGAGAGCCCCCAUAGACAGAGUUCGUCCCAGGACACUCAAAGAGUUAAAAACCACAUGGUAAUCUUCCCAUACUAUCACAGGCAGUUAAUCUUAUUUGAAGGAACACAUUUUGCCUGUAGACAUCGUAGCCUCGGGGUGUGAGCAGGAGAGGGGUGCGCGGGGCAGAACAGGAGUGGCCGAAGGGCACAAGGGAAAUGGCCGGGAGAGAGCUGCCAGCUGCCUCCCCAGGCCGGGACCCAGCCCAUGUGUGACCUCCUUAUCCAGGUAAGGAAAGGAGCACCUGACUCGGUCCCCACAUACCUCUCCCCCACCCCUGCGCAAUGCAAAUGACGCCAUUCCCCGAGCUGGAUUGCUGGGGGAGCAGCUGUCAAAAUGCCCAGCGGCUUCAGUGAGACCAGGAUUUCACUAGUAUCUCUCAAAGAGGAGAGAUGCAGUCUGCUACAGUGAAACGAUGUUGAUGCCUCCUGGCAACCUUUUAAAGCCCUUCCCGUCCUGCCCUGCAACCUUUCUGCUGCUGAUAGAAGAACCAUGUACGCUUCGAUGCCUUCAAAACACACCGGAAUGUUACAGAGAGAUUUCAUUCUCUAGAAGGGAAUUACGGUGCAUAUUUGUAACUGAAGCUGCGCUGUCUGGUUGGAAGCGGUCACACAAGAUGCAGAUUUUAUUCCCUGAGUGAAGAAUGCAAGUAUUUCCAUAGCAAAGUAUUCAUGUUUAAAGUAAAGUCUCCUUCAGUGUGGGUGUUUAUAAUUCCAGAUUCCUUUAGAGCAAAUAUUUGUGUCUAUAAAAUUCAUUUGCAAAAGAUUUGACGGCAUGUGUGCAGAAAAUAAAGGUCAAAACCAUAAAAGCGUACUGAAAAGGAUAAAAGUAAAGUCCUUGAAGUAUGGUGUGUGAGUGUUGGCGUGCAUGUGCUACAGGUAAGAACCAUUUUAAAAAGAAGUCUGUACCUGCGUAGAUGUAAAUGUGCAUUUCCAAAAAUACAUGCAUUGUAGGUUGCUCUUUCUGUACUCCAUAAAGAUUCUGUGUGUGUGUGUGUGUGUGUGUGCGCAGACGUGCACGUGUGCUUGAAGGAGAGAAAGAGGGAAAAUGAGGGGGAGAGUGGGAGGAAGAUAGGUACAGAGCCAGAAUCCUUUUUUUUUUUCCUCCCAUCAAGAUGAUUAUAGUGUCCUUAGAAAUGAGAAGGCUCUACUAAAGAUUUUCAACUUCAAAGAAAAGUUCUCAGUGAAAGCUCAUCCUCUCCUUCUCUCAUUAGCAGGCAGAAAAGCCUUUAACAUAACCUAGCAUAGAAAAGCAGAAGGGUGUACUUCCCUCCCAAGUCAGGCAAAACAUUUCACAGGCACGUGACUGUCUGAAGCUAAAGAAGAAAAAGAAGCAGUAAGACUUUUGGAGGACUAUGAAUACAAACUUGAAAAUAUUAAUGCAACUUGGAGCUAUUCUAUUUAGGGGUACCCUUUGACAUAAAACUCUCAUGGUAGUUUAAUUUCUGGUGUCAAUGUCCUAUUUUUUCUAUCAAAUUUGAGUUGGAUUUUUUUUAAAUCUUCAUUUUAUUUCCCCAAAUAGACUGGCUGUGUGUGUGAGAGGGAAAAAUCUCUCUUACUUGCCUGUGUCUAGAUGUUGACAAUGGCUCCAUGUGUUCUGUCAUGCCCUAGAAGCUCCCAGCCAUCUGCUGAACGUGCCUGCAGCUUUGGCACAAAGUCGGCAGCUGCAGGUGUGCACUGAGGCAGAUCUCAUGGCUGACCACUGUUAUCUGUGUGAUCUGGGUUGAAUCCAUCCUGCACACUCAGGGUGCAGUGAGGAGGAUGAACAUCUUAGUAGCUGAAAAGAAAUGCAAAAAUCACUGAGCUCCAGCUUAUCAAAUCACAUCCAGCAGCUCCCACUUCACAGUGCUUAUGAAUGUUCUUGUUUCAAAUCAAAUUAAUCCAUGUUGAAUAAUAUUACCAUUAUUUUUAAAAUCCUAUGCAUUUAGGGCCAAGCCGUAACCUAAAAGGUUUACUUUGUUAGGUACAGCAGAGCCUAGAGAAUUUCCAUAGUGUUUUGAAUCGUAGAACAGCUUGGAUUGGAAGGGACCUUUAAAGGUUACCUAGUUCCAACCCCCCUGCAACAUGCAG
rnacentral:lncRNA from 13 species